rnacentral:rRNA from 1 species
UGGGGAAUAUUGCACAAUGUGCGCAAGCCUGAUGCAGCCAUGCCGCGUGUAUGAAGAAGGCCUUCGGGUUGUAAAGUACUUUCAGCGGGGAGGAAGGGAGUAAAGUUAAUACCUUUGCUCAUUGACGUUACCCGCAGAAGAAGCACCGGCUAACUCCGUGCCAGCAGCCGCGGUAAUACGGAGGGUGCAAGCGUUAAUCGGAAUUACUGGGCGUAAAGCGCACGCAGGCGGUUUGUUAAGUCAGAUGUGAAAUCCCCGGGCUCAACCUGGGAACUGCAUCUGAUACUGGCAAGCUUGAGUCUCGUAGAGGGGGGUAGAAUUCCAGGUGUAGCGGUGAAAUGCGUAGAGAUCUGGAGGAAUACCGGUGGCGAAGGCGGCCCCCUGGACGAAGACUGACGCUCAGGUGCGAAAGCGUGGGGAGCAAACA